UUCUCAAUCUCCACACCUUUUUUCUUUUCAACUUCACCAUUCUUUUCGUUAUUUUCAACUUCUUCCUCCUCAUUCCACUCCCCCACUUUACCAUCAAUAUUUUCCUCCACUAUUUCCUCCUCAUUUUCUUUCUUUUUCUCUCUUCGUUCACUCUCAAAUCUUUUGUUAUUCUCACUCAUCAACUCCUUACCACUUCUCGUCAUGAUCGCCUUACAAUGCUCCUUAGGAUUUGUUUGCGUAUUUGCCGAAAAGGAAGGA
rnacentral:lncRNA from 1 species